GGCCAAGUUUUUAAGGGCGCACGGUGGAUGCCUUGGCACCAGGAACCGAUGAAGGACGUGGGAGGCCACGAUAGUCCCCGGGGAGUCGUCAACCAGGCUUUGAUCCGGGGGUUUCCGAAUGGGGAAACCCGGCAGUCGUCAUGGGCUGUCACCCAUGCCUGAACACAUAGGGCAUGUGGAGGGAACGCGGGGAAGUGAAACAUCUCAGUACCCGCAGGAAGAGAAAACAACCGUGAUUCCGGGAGUAGUGGCGAGCGAAACCGGAUGAGGCCAAACCGUAUACGUGUGAGACCCGGCAGGGGUUGCGUGUACGGGGUUGUGGGAUCUCUCUUCUGUUGUCUGCCGGCAACAGGACGAGUCAGAAACCGUUGAUGUAGGCGAAGGACAUGCGAAAGGUCCGGCGUAGAGGGUAAGACCCCCGUAGUCGAAACGUCAGCGGCUCGUUUGAGAGACACCCAAGUAGCACGGGGCCCGAGAAAUCCCGUGUGAAUCUGGCGGGACCACCCGCUAAGCCUAAAUAUUCCCUGGUGACCGAUAGCGGAUAGUACCGUGAGGGAAUGGUGAAAAGUACCCCGGGAGGGGAGUGAAAUAGUACCUGAAACCGUGUGCCUACAAGCCGUGGGAGCGUCGGAAUGGAGCUUGCUUCAUUCUCGUGACUGCGUGCCUUUUGAAGAAUGAGCCUGCGAGUUUGCGGUGUGUUGCGAGGUUAACCCGUGUGGGGAAGCCGUAGCGAAAGCGAGUCCGAAUAGGGCGUUUCAGUAGCACGCUCAAGACCCGAAGCGGAGUGAUCUAGCCAUGGGCAGGUUGAAGCGGAGGUAAGACUUCGUGGAGGACCGAACCCACCAGGGUUGAAAACCUGGGGGAUGACCUGUGGUUAGGGGUGAAAGGCCAAUCAAACUCCGUGAUAGCUGGUUCUCCCCGAAAUGCAUUUAGGUGCAGCGUCGUGUGUUUCUUGCCGGAGGUAGAGCACUGGAUAGGCGAUGGGCCCUACCGGGUUACUGACCUUAGCCAAACUCCGAAUGCCGGUAAGUGAGAGCGCGGCAGUGAGACUGUGGGGGAUAAGCUCCAUGGUCGAGAGGGAAACAGCCCAGAGCAUCGACUAAGGCCCCUAAGCGUACGCUAAGUGGGAAAGGAUGUGGAGUCGCACAGACAACCAGGAGGUUGGCUUAGAAGCAGCCACCCUUGAAAGAGUGCGUAAUAGCUCACUGGUCUAGUGAUUCCGCGCCGACAAUGUAGCGGGGCUCAAGCGUACCGCCGAAGUCGUGUCAUUGCGAUAUGUACCCCCAACGGGGAUCGUGAUGGGUAGGGGAGCGUCGUCUGCCGGGUGAAGCAGCCGCGUAAGCGAGUUGUGGACGGUUGACGAGUGAGAAUGCAGGCAUGAGUAGCGAUACAAACGUGAGAAACGUUUGCGCCGAUUGACUAAGGGUUCCUGGGUCAAGCUGAUCUGCCCAGGGUAAGUCGGGACCUAAGGCGAGGCCGACAGGCGUAGUCGAUGGAUAACCGGUUGAUAUUCCGGUACCCGCUGUGAAGCGUCAAACAUCGAAUCCAGUGAUGCUAAGCCCGUGAAGCCGUCCUGCCUCAGCUUUGCUGUGGUGGGGAGUGGUGGAGCCGGUGACCCGAGCUGGUAGUAGGUGAGUGAUGGGGUGACGCAGGAAGGUAGUCCAUCCCGGGCGGUGGUUGUCCCGGGGUAAGGGUGUAGGACGUGAGGUAGGCAAAUCCGCCUUGCAUAUAGUCUGAGACCUGAUGCCGAGCCGAUUGUGGUGAAGUGGAUGAUCCUAUGCUGUCGAGAAAAGCCUCUAGCGAGUUUCAUGGCGGCCCGUACCCUAAACCGACUCAGGUGGUCAGGUAGAGAAUACCGAGGCGUUCGGGUGAACUAUGGUUAAGGAACUCGGCAAAAUGCCCCCGUAACUUCGGGAGAAGGGGGGCCACAACCGGUGAUCGGAUUUACUCCGUGAGCUGGGGGUGGCCGCAGAGACCAGCGAGAAGCGACUGUUUACUAAAAACACAGGUCCGUGCGAAGCCGUAAGGCGAUGUAUACGGACUGACGCCUGCCCGGUGCUGGAACGUUAAGGGGACCGGUUAGCUCACUUUCGGGUGGGCGAAGCUGAGAACUUAAGCGCCAGUAAACGGCGGUGGUAACUAUAACCAUCCUAAGGUAGCGAAAUUCCUUGUCGGGUAAGUUCCGACCUGCACGAAUGGCGUAACGACUUCUCGACUGUCUCAACCAUAGGCCCGGUGAAAUUGCACUACGAGUAAAGAUGCUCGUUUCGCGCAGCAGGACGGAAAGACCCCGGGACCUUUACUACAGUUUGAUAUUGGUGUUCGGUUCGGCUUGUGUAGGAUAGCUGGGAGACUGUGAAGCUUGGACGCCAGUUCAGGUGGAGUCGUCGUUGAAAUACCAGUCUGGUCGUGCUGGAUGUCUAACCUGGGUCCGUGAUCCGGAUCAGGGACAGUGUCUGAUGGGUAGUUUAACUGGGGCGGUUGCCUCCUAAAGGGUAACGGAGGCGCCCAAAGGUUCCCUCAGCCUGGUUGGCAAUCAGGUGUUGAGUGUAAGUGCACAAGGGAGCUUGACUGUGAGACCGACGGGUCGAGCAGGGACGAAAGUCGGGACUAGUGAUCCGGCGGUGGCUUGUGGAAGCGCCGUCGCUCAACGGAUAAAAGGUACCCCGGGGAUAACAGGCUGAUCUUCCCCAAGAGUCCAUAUCGACGGGAUGGUUUGGCACCUCGAUGUCGGCUCGUCGCAUCCUGGGGCUGGAGUCGGUCCCAAGGGUUGGGCUGUUCGCCCAUUAAAGCGGUACGCGAGCUGGGUUUAGAACGUCGUGAGACAGUUCGGUCCCUAUCCGCUGUGCGCGUAGGAGUCUUGAGAAGGGCUGUCCCUAGUACGAGAGGACCGGGACGGACGAACCUCUGGUGUGCCAGUUGUUCUGCCAAGGGCAUGGCUGGUUGGCUACGUUCGGGAGGGAUAACCGCUGAAAGCAUCUAAGCGGGAAGCCUGCUUCGAGAUGAGGACUCCCACCCACUUGAUGGGGUAAGGCUCCCAGUAGACGACUGGGUUGAUAGGCCGGAUAUGGAAGCACGGUAACGUGUGGAGUUGACCGGUACUAAUAGGCCGAGGGCUUGUCCUC
rnacentral:rRNA from 1 species